AGAGGAGGGAGGAGAGGAGGAGAGGAGAGGAGAGGAGAGGAGAGGAGAGGAGAGGAGAGGAGAGGAGAGAGGAGGGAGACGGCCUCCUUCUCUGCAGAAAGAACUAAACACCCUGACGGAGAACUACAGGAGCCCUGAGGGGUCAUUAACCACGAGGUCGUCCUUUUAUUAGUCAUUAUUUUAUCUGUUCAAAAGUGUUGAAAUCAUAAAAAAUCACCUGCUGAAGAGACGAGGAGGAUUAUAGGAGUGAAGGACGAGGAGAUGAUCGAUUUAAAAUCAAUACUCUGAUGGAAACACGUCCACAGAAAUGAUGAGACAAUAUUUUUAAAGUGAUAAAAAGGUUUUUUUUUAUUUCAGUAACUCUGACCUAAAGAUGCUGAAAAAUAAAGAUUUUAUUUCUUAUUUUUUUCUCAGCAGAAAAUUCAAUAAUAAAAAAACUAAAAAACUAUAAAUAUGUUAAAAAAAUCCUUCAGUAAAAAUUUCAGACGAUUCGACAGUUUUUAAAAACGUUCUUCUCUGUCUGUGAGUGUUUCAGACGGUGCAGGAUAAUUCCUGGAAAAUGAGUCGGUCAGUAAUUCUGAGGAGAUCUCAGACUCAUUAAAAAUGUACGGAGGGAAGUCUGGAGAGGGAGGAGAUCCCGCGGGAUCUGGAGAGGGAGGAGAUCCCGCGGGAUCUGGAGUCUAACCCGGUUCUUCAGUUCCUGGUUCUGCUCUAACAGAGUCCUUCAGAUGAUGAAAGUCCGUUAAACAGAGUCUGGGUUCGGGUUCAGGUCAGAUACCAGAUAUCGAGUUCCUGAAGAUCUUUGGGUGAAAACUACGUUACCCAGAAACCCACUGUGAGUGUACUGAAGGUGAUGCUGCGUUGAAGUUUUACUCAGAAGUUGGGAUUUCCGAGCUCCGAGUCGGACAUUUAUCUGGAACGCCCCCCUAAAGUCGGAUUUCUGACUCGGAAAGCCGCCAACCCC